GCUACGAGAACUUCCUUCUUCUUCUGCCCCACUGCACUGAGAACCACCUGAGCGACCUCUGCGGCUGUCUGGCCUUCAGCGGUGUUCUUGUCCAUGACUGCCAAAACAAAGCCGAGGAAACACCAACAUCAGCAGGUCCAGGAACGUGGCAAACUGGCUGAUCUCUGCCUGCCUGAAGGCUGCAGCAAGCCCUGAACCCACUCAGCAGCUGCAACCCGCUUCUGCAGCUUCCAGGCUGGAGUCUGAAUCAACAGGAUUCUUGAGAACUUUGAGCAGAACUGGACUGAGAGAUGAGCUGCUCAUCACACUGCAGCAGCACCUGGUAUCUGCCAGGGAAAUGGGCAUUCCCUCAAGCAGACCACAUUCACUAAAUCCUUUUCAAGCCGUGUUUGACAGGGAAGAAGAGUGAGCAUUGCUUGCGUUUAACAACAGCUAAAUGUUCUUGGUGAUCCAACUGCUUCAGAAAGAAAUUGACAUGAAAUGUGUAGACUUUGAGGUCAGGGGAAAAAGGAAGGCAGCAUUGUCUAUUCAAUCAGUGAUUUAAUAGAAGCAAACAGGAAAUUUGACAAUUUCUCUGACUCACCAGGUCCCCAAACAAUGGUAAGUGAAGGUUCAAAAAGCUCACUCAAGACCUAAUGAGAAAAAUAAAGUGACUACGCUCAUUGAAACAGCUGAAUUAACAAAAUGCUUGUGUGCACUUACAUUAUCUGCUUUCACUCCAGACUUCAUGAGCAGAAAAUGAUGUGCGAGAUACCCUGAGGGCAUUAGAAAUCAGCAAAAGGCCUAAGAAGGAACUCAGUGCCUGGACAGAACUCCUCAGUAAAAGGUAAUUGUUCAGAGAAGAAAGGGAGGAGGGGUUUGGGAGAAGGAAUCCAAGACCCCAGCUGGAUUUCUGAACAGAAAUGAUGGGAAGUGUGACGGUGAGGACUGCCCCAGGCAACAGGAGCAGGCGGACACCAGGUCUGUAAGUGGAUGGCAACAAAGAUCGGUCGUCUGGGGGCUGCUGAGGUGGGAAGGCUCAGUUAUAACAGUCUGAAUUAACUUCUUAAGGUGCAAUUCGAAAACCCUGCUAUCUCCCCGCUAUCACUUGGAGCAGUGCCUGAGGAGACGAUCCGCUGUGUUUUGGGAGUCGCUUAAUGCCAUUUAUUUAUGCUUUUACCCCA